UUUUUUUUUUUUUUUUUUUUGGUCUUUUCUAGGGCUGCAUCUGUGGCAUAGGGAGGUUCCCAGGCUAGGGGUCUAAUUGGAGCUGUAACCGCUGGCCUACUCCAGAGGCACAGCAACGCGGGAACCAAGCCGCAUCUGCAACCUACACCACAGCUCAUGGCAACGCCGGAUCUUUAAUCCACUGAGCGAGGCCAGGGAUCGAACUUGCAACCUCAUGGGUCCUAGUUGGAUUGGUUAACCGCUGAGCCACCACAGGAACUCCUCUCCUGUUACUCUUGAUUUUGCACAUUGGGAUCCUGUUCAAUACACUUCGCUGCAUUUGAAACCCCUCCCAGUCAAUGGGGGCAUGCUUUUUGAAAGGCUGCAUGACAUUCCACACUGGGGAGAGAGGCAUGGCUGUGCUCACACCUACACCCCGCCUGCUGGGCACGGGCCUGGCCGUCUCAGUUCCAGAUCCACUAGAGACCACGGUGCUGUAAGCGCCCCUGAACGCAUACCCAUCCUUCCUUUCUUGAGCUUUGAUUGUAACAGGCUGAAUUUCUACCUCUUUUGCCUCAGGGAAGAAAACCAAGAGAUAUAGAUGGAGGGGGUUUGCCUGGAAUCACACAUCCAAUAAGUGUUCAAAGCAAGUGCACUGGAUGCUGUAUCACAUACUCUUUAUUCCACCAGACACUCUGUCCUUCUUCUAGCCUUACUGCUAGAAAUGUUUCUUUCCAUCAGAUUCAGUAAAGGCUUGCCCUGAAAUCCUUCCUCCCCUGGGACAGAGGUGGUCAAGUGCCUGGCUGUCACAGAACAUCUUGGUGGCUCUGGGUGGAGGGAAUUCAAUGCAGACGAGGCAUUCAGGGCUGCUGCUAGUGCCAGCAUGUAGCAAGCACUUGGGGAAGUCGUGCUAAAAAUACUACAUCUGCUCAAUAAAUGGGUAUUGAAUGCCGACAGUGUUCCAGGCUGGCAGGCGACAGACUUUGUUCAGCCCUGUUCUAAGAUGGCAGGAACAGCCUUGGGCCUCAUUCAUUUCCAUCUUGGAGGCUUACUGGCUGGGCCUGGAGUCCCUGGGGUUGUUAUCAAGGGGAUUCAAGGUCCCCCAGACAGGUCAGACCAGACUGGCCACAAAAUUCUGUGGCCCUGCCUCAUGAGCCACACUGUCCUCAUCUGUGGACUGGGAAGGGGAGAGGGUAAAAACUGGACUUGAGGGACCUUGGACUUCAAACCUGCCAUGUCACCAGUGGGAGUAAGGUACAGAACUGCAAAGGGAUAUUUCCAAAGUGUCCCAGGAGCUGGUGAUGGGGUUGGGGCACAAGUCCCUUCUGGGGGGCUUCUAGCCUUAUUGUUCUUUGUUCUGUGCUGCUGCCAUUUCAACCCUGUGCACAUGUGUGCCCGUUUUCUUUUCCUCUCUACAAACCUGGAUGAAAUACACACUGAUGAAAACUGUGGGCUGUGAGAACAGGCAGGCCUGAGUUUGAGUCUUAGCCUCCUACCCAUACAGUGACCUCAGAAAAUUAUUUAACCUCUGUGGGUUCAUAACAAUGGCCAGUCCCCCAGAGUUCUGAGAAUUCCAUGAAACAAUGACUUGAAAGGGCCUAGCAGGAAGCCAACCACAUAGUAUGCACUCACUAAAUGCUGAUCAUGUCUUUUAGUUCCCAUUUGCAUCUUUGAAUUCUUGCAGAACCUCUCUGCAAUUCCCAGAGUCUCCAGUACAACUUGUUUUCCCCAAACAAUAGCUCUCUUGACGUCUGAGGAGAAUGGGGGCCUCUGUGAAGCUCUUCCAAACCCUCUAUUGCGGGCUUUCAUCCACUGAACCCCUGAGGAAUUGUCGGCCUGCACUUAACUUCUCCAGAAGCAAGACUCUGCUGAUCCCUUUCUGCUGAACAGCAAUGAACUUGUCAAGAGACCAGCCAGGAGGGAGGUGGUGAAGGGGCAGGAGCAGGGCAGGCAGGUGUACAAGCCAGCGAGGAGGGCUGGGGCCAUCCAUCUUGAUUCUUUUCUCCGUGUCCAAGUGUAAAGGGAUUUGUGUCUACAAGGCUGUCUUCGCCAACCUCAGGGAAGAAGAGAAGUUGUUUAAUUGGAAAGUUUUACUUCUACCACAGAGGAAGAUUCUGGGACAAUUAGGGAUAUUGUAAUUUCUUAUUAAGGUCAAAAAGAAAUGAUAGGUAGAGCCCAUGAGUCACUUUCCAACAUGGUGAGAAAUGGAGUUGCUGGGUGACUGGGUGCGAGUGAGCCUGCGUGCCCCCAGUCUUAACGAUGUGGAGGGGGGGCUGUGGGAAGGGCGCUGGCUGCCUCCUUCCUGCCUCUGGAAUGCUCACCUUUUUGGAAACCCAAUAAAAUUAAUUCCAAGCUCAGAUUAUUAAUUCGUCCUGGUGUGUGAAUAAUUCAUUGUGGCAGAAGCCCUGUCACAUCUUCACGUUUUGGAGCGCAUAGCCUCUCCCGCUCUUGCCUUCGGAGAGAUGGCUUUCCCUUCUAACCUGCCCAAGUGUGAGAGGGACCAAGCACUCAGCCAUCAAUUCCCCAAGGAGGUCUGAGCCCUGAUUUGAGCCUGAUGCCUAUUUCGAAUCCAGCAGCCAGAGUGUAGGUGGCUGCAGUGAACUGAGGCGACCUGCUGAAGUCAGGAUGCUUCUUAAGGACCAGGGGGACUUGCUCGCCAGGCUCAUGGCUGCACAAGGAUGUAAAAGGAAUUCCUGUCGUGACCAAACGCCACUGCCCAUUACAGUGAGGUCCUCUGAGAGGACCUCCAUUGGCCUGCCCAUCAAUUAUGCAUUUCCCCAGCACACCUUCCAGGCCAGCUUCUCGUGUCAGGAUUGUUCCCUGACUGCUCCCCUCUGAGCAAGUGUCUCCACUCUGCUCCUGGGGAAGAGAUAAGAGAUGAGGCACUACCAGCUGAUAGCCUCCAGGGAGCCCAGUGCCAAAGCCUAAGUGGAACAAGGGAAGGGAUGAGUGGGUCCAGAAGCUUCUCUCUUGAACAGGAAUAAGGAGCAUGGGCCAUCCUCUGUUAAACCAGUGGCUCUGGGGAUCUUUCUUGCUUUGAACACAUGUUGUCACUGAACUGUGUGCUUACAAAGGACCCUGGGAUGCAGACGGGUGAGCAAGCUGCCCUUCUGAUAGAUGAGGCAUCUGCCACUUGAAGAGGCACAGGCAGUGUGUAGCUUUGCCUGGCAGGUUCUGGUCGGGCUUGAAAUAGUCCCUAAUCUGGUGGGCAAAUAAUUCUCGUAUCUCUUCUUUUACCAAGGAGGAUGCUCACCCCAACCCUGCGUAUUCGUUACCCGCACUCAGGACAGGAGUCCUGGCCACCGCUUGGAUCUGGUUCUUGGGCUAAGGAGCUUCUGCUCUGAGCUGGCAGCAGACACCCAAUAAGGUCUCAGUGACAGGGCCCUGCUAAGGGAUAAGGAAGAUACGUGAGGACCCAGGGAAGAGCAGCCUGCUGACUACAAGUUCCUCAAGGGCAAGGACCACGUCUGAUGAAUGUCCCACUGCAGCCCAUCCCACAGCACAGCUGUAUCGUGAUAAAAGCAGAACGAGAGAAUAAAUGAAGGAAUGCAAGGCAGACCCCAAGGAAAGCCAAUGGAGAGGUAAAACCAAGCAGCCCCUGGAGGCCUGAGGAGAGGGUGCUAUCUCCAUCUGGGGGAUCUAGGAUGACUUCCUGGAGGAGGUGGCAUUGGAACUUUGGGGAUUCUCUGGCUGUGAAUUCAGAGGGUUCUCCUGCCUCAUUUAGACAUUCAAAGACGACUUACUAAUUAACAACUGGAGAAAGAAUUCUGCAUGCAGACUGUUUGUACCUUAGCCGAGUGUCCCCAAACUUGGGAAACACAGUAGCACUUUAUGUAGGUUUCCAGUUGAGCCUGGAAUCAGCGUGAAUUGUUGGGAGGGGUUUGGGGAGUAGGGUAGACAGGCACAGGCUCUGCAGAGCCUGGCACCACACCCCUCUCUCUUCCCUUCAGAGCACAUCUUUCCAGAGACCAUCACAUUUGAUCUUGCCGAUUAUUUGGUCAACCUCUUUUCUCUGGGCAGCGCUGAUGGGGAACAACAUAUGCUUGGCCUUCUGCCUUCCUCUCCUAUACACACCCCUACACACACCCACAUCACACCCAUUUAUCUCCAUGACAACAAGGGGAGAGAGCGUGGCCUGAUGCUUCCAGGCCUCAAUACGCGGACUUAGAGCCUAGAGACUUAGCAGUUCUGGCCCUGCAGCCUCACAAAGAAGGACUAGAGUGAUUGCAGAGGCCAGGCAUGGAGAAGGGAGGGCUUUGGGGUUGCUUGUGCCCUCAGAGAGGAGGGGUCAUUGCCCUGGGAGCCCUACUGCUGGCCGUUUCCUGAUGAAGAGGUUGGUCAUUUUGCCCCCAAACACCCUCAUCCCUUGUCAGGGAUAAGCAGCGUUUGGGGGAAGGAGGGCCGGCUUUGUAUCCAAUCCCAGCUCUACCAUUUCCCUCUUCUUGUGAGUUCUCUGAACCUCUGGAUCUGCAUCUAUAAAAGGACAACUCCUUGAAAGGACUUCUGUGACUUCUAGAAAUUGGCAUUAAAAAAAAAAAUCUAUCAACGCCUCUGUUUUAGAAACUAACCAAAUGAGAUUGGUCAAAAUCAGAGAUAGGGUGUGAGGGGUGGAGAACGUGCAAACCGGCAAAAUAGGGAAACAACUAGUCAGUCUAAUUAAGAAAAAGAGUAGAGACAAAACAAUACCAAAAUUAGGAGUGGGAAAGGGAAUAUGGCCAUUGGUAUUACACAGAGGAUGUUAUAAAACUAAUAUGAGGAUAUAUGAACCAACUCUGUAAAAUAUGUUGAAGACAAGAUCAAAUGCAUAUUUUUCUAUGAAAACAUAUACUUAACUUUAAAAAUGGCAGUUUCAGACUUCCCUUGUGGCUCACAACAUAACUGCAUAGCGUUGCUUCUACAGUGGCUGUGGCUUAACUCUUGGCUCGGGUAUUUCAUAUGCCACAGGUGUGGCCACUUGUUUAAAAAAUAAAAUAAAAAAAUUUUAAAUGACAAGUUCAUCAGAGCAAAACCCUGGGAGAAAGUGGAAGAAAAAGUCAAUGAAUUACAUCUCCAACUAAUUUGCAUCCGUGUAGGAAAACAGGCUAAAAUAGUUUCACAGACUGCUUCUUUUUUUUUCUCUUCAAAAUUUCAAGGAGUUAAUCAUUACCAAGCUAUACAAAGUAUUCCAGAAUGUUUUUUUAAUAAAUCAAUACCUAAUUCAUUUUACAAGUUAGAAUAUUGCUAAUAAUCAUGUUUGACAACGAUAAUAUCCAAAAAAUAAAUCUACAAGAUAUCACCAGUGGAUUUACAUGUAAAGAUUCUAAAUAAAGUAUGCAUAUAUAUCAAAUUUCUGAAGUGUAUUAAAAGGAUAAUAUACUAUGAUUAAGUAGGGUAUAAUCUGGGUAUGGUAGGUUUAAAAAUCAAUCAACAUAAUUUAUCAAGUUAAAAAUAGUAAAGUAUUGAGUUCCCAUUGUGUCUCAGUGGGUUAAGAACCUGACAUAGUCUCUGAAGAUGUGGGUUCAAUUCCUGGCUUUGCUCAGUGGGUAAAGGAUCCGGCAUGCCGCAAGCUGCAGCAUAAGAUUGCAGAUGAGGCUUGGAUGUGAUGUUGCUGUGGCUGUGGUAUAGGCCAGCAGCUGCAGCUCCGAUUCAAUGCCUAGCCUAGGAACUUCCAUAUGCUGUAGGUGUGCCAUGAAAAGAAUAAUAAAAUAAAAAAUAAAACAAA
rnacentral:lncRNA from 1 species